GACGAACGCUGGCGGCGUGCUUAACACAUGCAAGUCGAACGGAAAGGCCCUGCUUUUGUGGGGUGCUCGAGUGGCGAACGGGUGAGUAACACGUGAGUAACCUGCCCUUGACUUUGGGAUAACUUCAGGAAACUGGGGCUAAUACCGGAUAGGAGCUCCUGCUGCAUGGUGGGGGUUGGAAAGUUUCGGCGGUUGGGGAUGGACUCGCGGCUUAUCAGCUUGUUGGUGGGGUAGUGGCUUACCAAGGCUUUGACGGGUAGCCGGCCUGAGAGGGUGACCGGCCACAGUGGGACUGAGAUACGGCCCAGACUCCUACGGGAGGCAGCAGUGGGGAAUAUUGCACAAGGGGCGGAAGCCUGAUGCAGCAACGCCGCGUGCGGGAUGACGGCCUUCGGGUUGUAAACCGCUUUCGCCUGUGACGAAGCGUGAGUGACGGUAAUGGGUAAAGAAGCACCGGCUAACUACG
rnacentral:rRNA from 1 species